GGAAGGUAGAAGCCAUUGCAGGGCCAGCUCUUUGUAGCAGGUCACUGCAGGUCCCAGGUAUAGACUGUCACAUGAAGCCCACCCUUCACAGUCUGAAGGGGUGCAUCCUUUCUGCAUCAGCUCCACUGCCUCCCAGACAAGCUGCUAUCCACAAAACCAGAAGAAACUGGGAUCCUGCAUCUUAUAUCAGCCAUCUAACAAGCCCCAUUCUAUUAUGAGCUGAAAGCUUUCCCUGAGGAGAGAGCUGCUUGGAUCUGCCUUGUGUUUUCCAGUCCAUCUCCCAAGUGAGACAUACGGACAAGUUAAAACAGGCGCACUUCAGCACGGCCAAGAAGAGGGUGUCAGAGGAUUCGCCAGGCAUAGAAGCGCUGCCUCUUCUUUCUCUUCACCUUUCACAGUAGAUACAGGAAUCAUCACUGCUCCUGACCCAGAAGGGUUGUCCACACUUGUAGUCACCAAUCCCAAAGUGGAGGAGACAGUCCCACCAAAGGCUGGACAUCUGCCCUGGUGGUGUGGAGUUGGCUGUGAUGAGGAAAUGCUUGGGAGGGUGAGGCAGCCUUUGGACACUCUUGCAGGGGGGAUAAUUUUCCAAACCCAUGCUCCGAGAGCAUCCCUGGUGGCCCAGAAUGGUCCCAUGUGGUCCCCAAGUGAUUUACCCCAUCCUCAGAGCUGAUGCCGUGUAAGAUGCUGAUGCAAGGGGAAAACCCACCGUCUUCAGGCUAGGGAGGAAAGCAAGGAGCAGUCAGACCCAGGAAAGACCAAACCUGGGGCAUGUGGUACCAGCCAAGCGUGACAUCCUGAGCAGAGCUACAGAGCUGGUGAAACCUCAAGAGAAACUCAGACUUAAAACCCAGUGAAGCUAUAACAGAGAUUUUUGGGUUAUGAAAGUCUGGAGAAACUAGCUCAGAGUUUGAACCCGAAUCCUGGCAGCAGCAUCCCUGAAGGCACCCAGACAAGGGACUUUGCAGAAGACGGAGUUUUGGGGGAGAGGUUGUUCUAGGCAUAGAGGCAAAAGGAGAAGAGAUGAUGCAGAAACAGAAAGACCAAGAAAAGGGAAUUUUGAGGGCCAAGGAGGAUGUUGAAAGAUCUUAUGGAGAAGAUCUUCAUCUUUAUGGCAAAUCCAGACCAGCCACUCAGACCAUAUUUCUGGGCGUGCUCUGCUCACAUGACUUGCUGUGAAAUCUCACAUCCCUCUCUGAUUUUGAGCAGCUCUUUUAGUAGCUUGACCCUGGAGCUGAGCUGAUUUGGGGUGAGCAGGGUAUUCACUGAAAAAAAAAAAAAAUGUGCCCUUUCAAAGGGAACCAGCAAGCUGAAAUUCGGGUCAAAUAUAAGCACGUGGCUUCAGCCAGGAGUAGUGAAGGAAAUCAUUUGGAAGAUGUCGAAACGUCUUGUUUCAAAACAAGCCACUUCUUACAUCUUUAUUUCAAAACUCCUUUUCCUAUUUGAAAAGGGCCCCAAGUCAAAUGGGAGAAAGGGGCUUAAAAAGGUAAAAGACCCUAAAACUGGAACAAAACCCCGUGGUUUUGGUUGGAGGAAUUUGCAGGUUGAGUUGAACUGACGG